rnacentral:ncRNA from 1 species
GGUCCUAACCUUAUUAUCAGCUUUUUUUUAACCUACACAUGCAAGUCUCCGCACACCCGUGAAAACGCCCUUUAAACCUUGCCCAGGUAAAGGAGCCGGCAUCAGGCGCAAUUCCUGCCCACAACGCCUAGUCCCGCCACACCCCCAAGGGUAAUCAGCAGUGAUAAACAUUGUCCAUAAGCGACAGCUUGACCCAGUUAAAAACAAUAGGGCCGGCCAACACGGUGCCAGCCGCCGCGGCUACACCGCUGGGCUCAAGUUGAUAACUUUCGGCGUUAAGCGUGAUUAAAGUAUCCCAACAAUAAAGUUAAAUAUAGACUUAGCCGUAAUAAGCUUGUCAUUUGGAAACCCAUAAACGAAAGUUACUCUAUUUUUACUUGAACCCACGACAGUUAAGAAACAAACUGGGAUUAGAUACCCCACUAUGCCUAACCGUAAAAAAUUAAUUUACACCCCCAACGCCCGGGAAUUACGAGCCCAAACUUAAAACCCAAAGGACUUGACGGUGUCCCACCCACCUAGAGGAGCCUGUCCCAUAAUCGAUACCCCCCGCUAUACCUCGCCAUUUUUUGCCUACAGUCUGUAUACCUCCGUCGUAAGCCUACCAUGUGAAUGACUGAGUAAGCUAAGCGGCCCCCGCCAACACGUCAGGUCAAGGUGCAACUUAUGAAAUGGUAGACGAUGGGCUACAAUCUCUAAUUUAGAAUAAACGAAAAACUGUAUGAAACACAGUAUGAAGGUGGAUUUAGUAGUAAAAAGAAAAUAGUAUAUUCUUUUUAACUAGGCACUGGGACGUGUACACACCGCCCGUCACCCUCUUCAACAGCUUCCUUUACGUUAAUAACCCAAUAUUGCGCCCUAGAAGAGGCAAGUCGUAACAUGGUAAGUGUACUGGAAAGUGCACUUGGAUUACAAACUAUAGCUUAAAUAAAGCAUCUCGCUUACACCGAGAAGAUAUCUGCUAACCCGGGUUAUUUUGAGCCUAAAAUCUAGCCCACACAAACCUCAUGUAUCACCCACCAAAUACCAUAAAAACAAAACAUUUUAACUUACUAGUAAAGGUGAUUGAAAGAUUUCUAGGAGCCCCAGACUUAGUACCGCAAGGGAACAAUGAAAUAAAACUGAAACAAAUUUUAAGCCUCAAAAAGCAAAGAUUAAACCCUGUACCUUUUGCAUCAUGGUCUAGCUAGUCAAACCAAGCAAAACGAAACUUUUAGUUCGACCCCCCGAAACUAGACGAGCUACUUCAAAAUAGCCAUUAGGGCUAACCCGUCUCUGUUGCAAAAGAGUGGGAUAAUUUUUAAGUAGAGGUGACAAACCUACCGCGCCUAGAGAUAGCUGGUUAUUCAGGAAAAGAAUUUUAGUUCUGCCUUAAGCCCACAUGUACCUAAAACAAGCUUAAGAGUUAUUCAAAUAAGGCACAGCUUAUUUGAAGAAGGAUACAACCUAAAAAUCAGGGUAAAAUACUUGACUUAACAGAUAAGUGGGCCCAAAAGCAGCCACCUUUAAAAAAGCGUCAAAGCUUUCCUAUACAACAACUGAAUUCCUCCAACAACAUUCAACCCUUCACCACUACUGAAUAAUUUUAUACAAUAUAAAAGCCCUCCUGCUAGAACUAGUAAUAAGAAAUUGAAUUUCUCCAAAAUGUAAACUUAAGCCAACAUGAACAAAUCACUGGCAAUUAACGUAUAUGAACCAUUUAUAGUAACACACCAAGAAAAUUCUAUACAUAUUUACGUCACCCUAACACUAGAACAUUUCAGGAAAGAUUAAAAGAGGGAGAAGGAACUCGGCAAAUUUUAACCCCGCCUGUUUACCAAAAACAUCGCCUCUUGCCAAAUUAUAAGAGGUCCAGCCUGCCCAGUGACAAGAUUCAACGGCCGCGGUAUCCUAACCGUGCGAAGGUAGCAUAAUCACUUGUUCUUUAAAUAAGGACUAGUAUCAACGGCAUCACGAGGGUUACACUGUCUCCUCCCUUCAAUCAGUGAAACUGAUCUCCCCGUGAAGAAGCUGGGAUAUUAUUAUAAGACGAGAAGACCCCAUGGAGCUUUAAACUCAACAGCAUCUUCUUACACUAAGACCAAGAAAACUAAGGAAAAACUGCUUGUUAGUUUUAGGUUGGGGUGACCGCGGAGAAUAAUUAAACCUCCACAACGAAUGGGCACGCCCUUAUCCAAGAGCAACCACUCUAAGAAUCAACAAAUUGACGUACUAUGAUCCGACACUCGAUCAACGAACCAAGUUACCCUGGGGAUAACAGCGCAAUCCAUUUCAAGAGCCCCUAUCGACAAAUGGGUUUACGACCUCGAUGUUGGAUCAGGGUAUCCUAGUGGUGCAGCCGCUACUAAAGGUU